GUAGAAGUACACUUAUAUUUCAGUAUUCAAUGAUACUCUGUUCAUGGUGACGAAAUUCACACUAGUAAUCAAUGCUGGAAAUUCCUUAGAGUCAGUCCAACACAUGCUAUUGUAUUUAAUAAUUGGAUUGUGUAUUCAAGGUCAUGCGCUCUUCAUCAUAUGCAGAUACUUACAGAGAAAUUAAACCACCACAAUAAUAUAACUACAAUAUUGUAUGUUUUUCCUGGGGCACAUGGAGCAAAAUGAGAAAAAACAAUCAUAUGGCUCUCAAAUGGAUUUUCCUUCACACGCAGUCAAAAUAUGUCACCGCUCAUUUUUGUGCAAGUUUUUCAAGUUCUGAAGAUUAUGAGUUGAGAAGAAAUGACAGCAGUGGCCUUGGAAAUUGGUUAGAAGACAUGCAAAGAUGUGGUGAUGAUGGCUUAGGUGCAAGAGAAAAAGCAACACCCGUGGUUCAGCACAGACUUGUCCCUUCUGUCCUCCUAUCUGCCUAAGUAUUGGGUCAAUUCCUCAACAUCAGCACCAAGG
ensembl:lncRNA